UUGUGAUUUCAGUUUGAGAUGGUUACCAUCAAAUCAAAUAUAAACACAAAGAAUUAUACUUUGUUUUGCUAUUCUGAAGAUUGUUAUUUCAUCCGUUUAAUUUUUAUAGGUAAAAUAAAAAUAUAUAGUAUAAUUAUAUUUAUUUUUAAUAUGCUAUGGAAUUUUGUUUAGUUAGUUUAUAGACUAAAAUCAUAAAGAUGAAAAGAAAAUAUUACUUAAAAGACCAAUUUAAAACAUAAAACAAACCAAAAGUAGUGGCCUGGUAAUGCAAGAGACUAUAUAUUUUUAUGGGCAAUUCUCUCAAAUAUAUUUUUGUAAGUUUUUGUCACAAAAAUAGACUUCAAAAACUACAAUGAUCAAAAUAGCAUUUUUAUUUUGAAAAAUUUAAUUUUUAAUUUUUUAAAUUUGAAAUACUAUCCUCAAAACCCCCACUCCUCAACUCCAAACCCUAAACUCUAAACCCUAAACCCUAAACCUUAAACCCUAAACCCCACCCCUUAACUCUAAACCCUAAUGUCUAAAUUAAUUAA
rnacentral:lncRNA from 1 species